AGUGAACGCUGGCGGUAGGCCUAACACAUGCAAGUCGAACGGCAGCACAGUAAGAGCUUGCUCUUACGGGUGGCGAGUGGCGGACGGGUGAGGAAUACAUCGGAAUCUACUUUUUCGUGGGGGAUAACGUAGGGAAACUUACGCUAAUACCUCAUACGACCUACGGGUGAAAGCAGGGGAUCUUCGGACCUUGCGCGAUUGAAUGAGCCGAUGUCGGAUUAGCUAGUUGGCGGGGUAAAGGCCCACCAAGGCGACGAUCCGUAGCUGGUCUGAGAGGAUGAUCAGCCACACUGGAACUGAGACACGGUCCAGACUCCUACGGGAGGCAGCAGUGGGGAAUAUUGGGCAAUGGGCGAAAGCCUGACGCAGCAAUACCGCGUGGGUGAAGAAGGCCUUCGGGUUGUAAAGCCCUGUUGUUGGGGAAGAAAAGCAGCAGGUUAAUACGCGGCUGUUCUGACGGUACCCAAAGAAUAAGCACCGGCUAACUUCGUG
rnacentral:rRNA from 1 species